AUGGCCGGUGAGGAGGAGGUGCAGGUGGUAGAGUCUUGCUUUGUAAUGCCGGCCGUUGCCACACCAGGAAGAGCGCUCCGGCUGUCGCCGCUCGACCUCAUGCUAGCCAACAAAGGCCACACCCCACUUGUCAAUUUCUACCGACGACGUGGUUCCGUCGGAACCACCGAGGACAACUACUUUGAUGUGGUCAGGCCAGACGCCAAGGGCAAAUUGAAGAUCGACUGCAACGGCAAGGGUUUACCUUUCCUUGUGGCUCACUCUCGUCUAACUGUUGAUGACUUUAGCGACUUCAAGCCAUCACCAUGGCUAAGGAGGUUGUUUGUUCCCCUCAUCGACGAUUCAGCAGGCAUCUUGUGCGCCAUUCAGGCUGGUUGGUUCACCGCUGCAGUAGAAAAAUCGAGAGGCCAACACCGUAGAAAUAUCGAGAGGCAGUCCACCCAGCCAAUCGAUCGCCUCCUUCCAUCUCUAUUUCUUCUUCCUGCAGCGACGCGUCCUCUCCACCCCCAACCUAUCUCUCGCUGUCCAUGGGAGCCAGCCUGUGUCCCCUUCGUAGUCCCCUCCCGCACCUCUUCUCCACGCCUCUGCCCCGGCUCCGGCCCGCCACGGGGCUCACAGCCACAAAUACUAUGCCUCUCCCAAAGCCGGCUAUGGGAGUCGGCGACGGAUCCGACCACAUCGGUAUCCUGCAUCACCUCUAGCCUCGCCCCCUCCCGGUUCGUCGGCGUAAGAAGCAUCCCUCAUGAGAAUUCCAGAAAUUCGUCCCCGACGUGGAUCGAACUCUGGUCGUUGGGUUUACAAUCAUGCGCCCCCAACCACUGGGCUAUGCCCAGCAAGUUUCAUCCCUGA
rnacentral:rRNA from 1 species